ACUUUGCAAUGUGCGAAAGCACGACAAGGUUAAUCCGAGUGUUUCCUGCUAAAGGAAUCUUUUGUCAGUCGUAAAACCACUAACGAAUAAGGGGUGGGCAAGUUCUGGUGUCAGCCGCCGCGGUAAAACCAGCACCUCAAGUGGUCAGGAGGAUUAUUGGGCCUAAAGCAUCCGUAGCCUGCUUUGUUAGUUUUCGGUUAAAUCUAUAUGCUCAACAUAUGGGCUGCCGAGAAUACUGCAUAGCUAGGGAGUGGGAGAGGUAGACGGUACUCCGUAGGAAGGGGUAAAAUCCUUUGAUCUAUGGAUGACCACCUGUGGCGAAGGCGGUCUACCAGAACACGUCCGACGGUGAGGGAUGAAAGCUGGGGGAGCAAACCGGGAUUA
rnacentral:rRNA from 1 species